rnacentral:misc_RNA from 1 species
AACCUAGCACACCUGCGGUGUGUACCUGCGGAGGGAUCAUUACAGAGAUUGAUGCACCAAGUGCAUCACCUCCAACCCCUUGCGAAAACAACUAUCAUGUGUUGCUUUGGCAGUGUUUCCACUGCCAGAGGUUUACAUAAAAUCAGCUGUUUGGAUGUUGUCUGAGUAAACUAUAUGAAUUAUUUAAAACUUUUAACAAUGGAUCU